AUCUGUGUGCCAGUGUGUGUGUAUUUGUGUGUCAAAUACAUAUAUAUAUAUAUAUAUAUAUACAUAUAUAUAUAUAUAUAUAUAUACACACACACAGAUACACAUACCUUGGCACAUACAA